UUGGUAUAAACAAAAGCAGUCGGGGGGAGGAGCGCUAGCCUGACCAGACAGCCCGGGAAGCUCCAGCUCGUACUCCGGAGGAACCCCGUACUAAAUCUUAAUCAGUGAGAGUUUCUCCAAAGUCAGAGAGCUGGGAAUGGUGUCUGAUACCAAGAUCGAACGCGGUUCAUCUAUAGAACUAAGGUUUUGGGGAGCUGGAACGUACGAACUCCUAGAACUGCUAGAGGAGGAAGUGCUGGAGGAUAUUCUGAAUCGAGUAAAAACCCUAGAAACCCUAAAAAAAUUGAGAAAAAUAAGAAAUAGGAUGUUCGUGAAAAAUCAAACAGGUGAAAUGUAAAGGAAGAAAAAUGGAAGAAGAAUAGCAAGAAAAAAAAAGAGGAGCAUUCUGGAACUAACCUAGGCUGGUCCGAAGGAUGCAAAGAUGCAGAGAUGGGGGUGACUCAAAGAAUGCCUAAGGCCAAAAAGGAUGC
rnacentral:lncRNA from 1 species